rnacentral:rRNA from 1 species
AUGAUAUGCAGAAGAGAAGCAAACAAUCUGAAUCUUGGAAAAAAUAUUAGCCUGGGAAGCUUGGGGCUGAAACAGUAUGAACAAGUGGUGCAAAAGGCAGGAGGAAAAAACCAUAUGAUUGAAACAACAAAAGAUAGAAUGGAGACAGAGACAGUAGGAGGGGUGCAGGGAGAUGAAUACAGCUUCAUGGUGAGCUUACAAAAGGCAGAAGAGCUUGCUGCUAGACAAACUGCACAACUGGUGCUGGAGGAGAAGAAAAGGAAAGAGAUGGAGAUUAUAAGGAAAACAUUAGAAAAGAGGUCAGAAGACAGCAUGAAUUACUACAGAUCAACUUCAAAGUGA